UUUACAUAAAAAAAUUAAAAAAAAUUAAAAAAAAAAGUGUGGGACAGUCACAUACAAAAAUAUUAAUUUAAAUUUAAUGAAAGGGAUAUACAAUCCAUUUUAUUCAACAAUUUUCAAUCCAUUGUACUUGCUUAGAACAGAUACAACAGUGGCAAUCAAAAACAUAAUUUAUUUCAUUUAUAUCACUUCAUACACCUCCACUUUUCAAAUACAAACUUUUUACAUUGCACAAACAUCUGAAGUAUUGUACUGCAUUGAUUGUGCAUUACACCAAUAUAAACAAAGUAUCAGAUAACUCAUUACAAUUAUGUCAUUCACAUUUUUCAAAACAGUCAAAGUAAAAUAGUUUAGUGAGAUCCCAGAAGCACAAAAUACCUGAGUAAUCUAUGAUUGCGUUGAAUAAAAUACUCACAAAACUAUUAAAUACCAGUCCAGACAAAUUUCAAAUUAUUAUUUCAUUUUUCUUUGGGAAUGGGUGGUGGGGUGGAAUGAUUUCCAUUCAGAGCAUGCAUACACACAAUCUAUUCUGAGGCAAUGACUCAUAUGUACAUGAAGAUUAUUAUAUUAAAUUAAUUAAUUUAUAUAUAUAUAUAUAUAUAUAAAAAAUAAUAAUAAUAAAAUCAUAGUACAUUCUCAAAGCAGAGUUUUGCCACUUCAAAUGUUCUAACACCACAACAUAGUCUAAUCACUGCUGCAUUUAAAGUGUUUGUGAAGUCCAUAUUAAAUAUUGAAAAUAUUUCAAUAUUAUCAACUUAAAUAUGAAAGGGUCAGGGCUGCAGUCAUUUCAACUAAAAUAUGUUGCCAUUUAAAUUUGUUAAUUAAGACAGACAAAAAUUUUUACUAGUAUUGGGUGCUACUAAAGAAGUUACAUAAUUGCAAGCUUUUUCCAUCUAUUGUACCAUAUGAAUACCAGCAUAUUUCUUCUGGGUUAGAGAAGCCCAGUCAAAAUCAAAUUAGCUGUCAAUUUAAAAGAUUUCACUAAAUAUAAAUAACUAAAUAUAAGAAAGAACCUGACACCACAUUAAAAGUACAGAAGGCAAAAGUACAUUAAGUGUAAACAAUACAUUCUGAAUCAAGAUGAACCAAUUUUACUCCACAGACUAUGUACAGCCCCUGACUAUCAGCCAAAAUUUCCUCAAGUGCUGCACUGGAUUUUAACUUUCCCCUUACUGGAAACGGGCCAAGUACAGAGACAUGGCAAUCCUCUUUUGAUCCCAAGUUCUAUCUUUAAAGGCAAAAGACUGAUGGUCUGUAGACAGCUGGCUCUAUGUUUAUGGCUGUGUCUCCACCU
ensembl:lncRNA